AGAGCGGAGUGGAGGUCGCCGCCACCGCCGCCACACUUCCUGGGGCAGCUGCACCGCGGUCCACGGGCAGGUGGCGGGUGCUCCGGGCUGCGGUCGCCGGGCUGCAGCCCCUCUCAGGCCGGCGCGUCCCGGCUCCGAAGGCCAGGCGCUUGGUGCCUUUUGUCUGGCGCAUAGCGGGCGUUUGCAUCACGUUUCGGACACCUCCCUCUCCUCUUCGCCUCUCCUUCUAUCUUCUCGCUCACAUCUUCUCCCCACCCCCGCCGCCGUUCCCCGCGGACUGCCGGCCUCCUGGACCCAAGCCUGCGGACGUCUCUGCUCGAGCGAUGUCUCCUCUCCAGAAAGUUACCGCCGCCUCAGCCUCUACCGGGCGGUGAAACAAAGUCUGGCGGGGCCGCCUCCCGGUGCAUGAGCGCACCAGUGCCCAGCGGUUGGACUCUGCUCCUGGGCGUGCCUCCUCCCCCCAGGGAGCCCGAAACGCGCUCGGCCAUGGCCGAGGGCGCAGCCGGCAGGGAGGGUCCCUCGUCGCCAGAAGCGGCUGGGGGCGAAGAUGACCCCCGAGUGGGCCUAGACGCCGCCUCCGGGGACUGCGUGGCGGCGGCCCCUGGGGAUCGGUGGAGGGACCGUCGCAGCGGGGUCGCAUUGCCGGGGGCUGCAGGGACUCCGGCGGACAGUGAGGCCGGCCUCCUGGAGACUGCGCGGGCGACCCCCCGGCGCAGCAGCAUCAUCAAGGAUCCUGCAAAUCAAAAAUGUGGUGGAAGAAAGAAAACUGUGUCUUUCAGCAGCAUGCCAUCGGAAAAGAAAAUUAGCAGCGCGAGCGACUGCAUCAGCUUCAUGCAAGCUGGCUGUGAACUGAAGAAAGUACGGCCAAAUUCUCGCAUUUACAACCGCUUUUUCACCCUGGACACAGACCUCCAAGCUCUUCGCUGGGAACCUUCCAAAAAAGACCUUGAGAAAGCUAAGCUUGAUAUUUCUGCCAUAAAAGAGAUCCGACUGGGCAAGAACACGGAAACAUUUAGAAACAAUGGCCUUGCAGACCAGAUAUGUGAGGACUGUGCCUUUUCCAUACUCCAUGGGGAAAACUACGAAUCUCUGGACCUAGUUGCCAAUUCAGCAGAUGUAGCAAACAUCUGGGUGUCAGGGUUACGGUAUCUGGUUUCUCGAAGUAAGCAACCCCUUGAUUUUAUGGAGGACAACCAGAACACACCAAGGUUCAUGUGGUUGAAAACGGUGUUUGAAGCAGCAGAUGUCGAUGGCAAUGGGAUUAUGCUGGAAGACACCUCUGUAGAGUUAAUAAAACAACUCAAUCCUACCCUGAAGGAAUCCAAGAUCAGGUUAAAGUUUAAAGAAAUCCAGAAAAGCAAAGAAAAACUGACCACCCGAGUGACAGAAGAGGAAUUUUGUGAAGCUUUUUGUGAACUUUGCACCAGGCCAGAAGUGUAUUUCUUACUUGUACAGAUAUCUAAAAACAAAGAGUACUUGGAUGCCAAUGAUCUUAUGCUCUUUUUAGAAGCUGAGCAAGGAGUCACCCAUAUCACCGAGGACAUGUGCUUGGACAUUAUUCGGAGAUAUGAACUUUCUGAAGAGGGGCGUCAGAAAGGGUUUCUUGCAAUUGAUGGCUUUACUCAGUAUUUGUUGUCACCAGAAUGUGACAUUUUUGAUCCCGAGCAAAAAAAGGUUGCCCAAGAUAUGACCCAGCCAUUAUCUCACUACUACAUCAAUGCCUCUCACAACACCUAUCUCAUAGAAGACCAGUUCAGGGGGCCGGCUGAUAUUAACGGGUAUGUUAGAGCUUUGAAAAUGGGCUGUCGAAGCAUUGAACUUGAUGUAAGUGAUGGUUCAGACAAUGAACCAAUCCUUUGUAAUCGAAACAACAUGACAACACACCUUUCCUUUCGAAGUGUCAUCGAGGUGAUAAAUAAAUUUGCCUUUGUGGCUUCUGAAUACCCACUCAUUCUUUGCUUGGGGAAUCACUGCUCCCUGCCACAGCAGAAGGUAAUGGUUCAACAGAUGAAAAAGGUCUUUGGCAGUAAACUGUAUACAGAAGCACCUUUGCCAUCAGAAUCCUACCUCCCAUCCCCAGAAAAAUUGAAAAGAAUGAUCAUUGUAAAAGGAAAGAAAUUGCCUUCUGAUCGAGAUGUUUUGGAAGGAGAAGUUACAGACGAAGAUGAAGAAGCUGAAAUGUCUCGAAGGAUGUCAGUAGAUUACAAUGGUGAGCAGAAGCAAAUCUGGCUGUGUAGGGAGCUCUCUGACUUGGUGUCUAUCUGUAAAUCUGUUCAGUACAGGGAUUUCGAAUUAUCUAUGAAAAGCCAAAACUACUGGGAAAUUUGUUCAUUUAGUGAAACAGAGGCCAGCCGAAUUGCAAACGAAUACCCAGAGGAUUUUGUAAAUUAUAAUAAGAAGUUCUUAUCACGAAUCUAUCCCAGCGCCAUGAGAAUCGAUUCCAGUAACUUGAAUCCACAGGACUUCUGGAAUUGUGGUUGUCAGAUUGUGGCAAUGAAUUUUCAGACUCCAGGUCCAAUGAUGGACCUUCACACAGGCUGGUUUCUUCAGAAUGGAGGAUGUGGUUAUGUUCUAAGGCCGUCCAUCAUGCGAGAUGAGGUUUCUUACUUCAGUGCAAAUACAAAGGGCAUUGUACCCGGGGUCUCUCCUCUAGUUCUUCAUAUUAAGAUCAUCAGUGGUCAGAACUUCCCAAAGCCCAAGGGAGCUUGUGCCAAGGGGGAUGUCAUAGAUCCCUAUGUGUGUAUAGAGAUACAUGGAAUUCCAGCAGACUGUUCAGAGCAAAGAACUAAAACUGUACAACAAAAUAGUGAUAAUCCUAUUUUUGAUGAGACAUUUGAGUUUCAAGUGAACCUCCCUGAGCUGGCCAUGAUCCGUUUUGUCAUUCUAGAUGACGACUACAUUGGGGAUGAGUUUAUAGGGCAAUAUACAAUUCCGUUUGAAUGUUUGCAGCCUGGAUAUCGGCAUGUUCCCCUCCGCUCCUUUGUGGGCGACAUCAUGGAGCACGUAACUCUUUUUGUCCACAUAGCAAUAACUAAUAGAAGUGGAGGAGGCAAGCCACAGAAGCGCAGCCUAUCAGUGAGAAUGGGGAAGAAAGUUCGGGAAUAUACCAUGCUCAGGAAUAUUGGUCUUAAAACUAUAGAUGACAUCUUUAAGGUAGCAGUUCAUCCCUUACGAGAAGCCAUAGAUAUGAGAGAAAAUAUGCAGAAUGCCAUAGUGUCUAUUAAGGAACUAUGUGGACUUCCUCCAAUUGCCAGUCUGAAGCAGUGCCUGUUGACCUUGUCCACUCGGCUCAUCACCAGUGAUAAUACUCCCUCAGUCUCUCUUGUGAUGAAAGACAACUUUCCUUAUCUAGAGCCUCUGGGGACAAUUCCAGAUGUGCAGAAAAAGAUGCUGGCUGCUUAUGAUCUGAUGAUUCAAGAGAGCCGUUUUCUCAUAGAAAUGGCAGACACAGUCCAGGAAAAGAUUGUGCAGUGUCAGAAAGCAGGGAUGGAGUUCCAUGAGGAACUUCAUAAUCUGGGGGCAAAAGAAGGCUUGAAAGGAAGAAAACUCAACAAAGCAACUGAGAGCUUUGCUUGGAACAUUACAGUAUUGAAGGAAUAUGUGUCCCUAAGUGCAUUACUUGGACCUUACCCCCCCUGCUUUGGCUGCUGGGAGUUUCCCCAUGACUGUCAGCUGGGGACUGCCCUUAGCUCCCAGAGGCCUUAUUCUGACCCUUGCAUGAGGACCCCUACUUCCUGAGCCAGUAACGAUAAUGUUUGAUGGAGCAAGGAUCCUGAAAUUUACAUGUUAAAAUAGUCUGACCAUUUGAAAAAGACCAUGGAGUAAAUACAGCUUUAUUUCAAGACUUUUGAAGGAGAGGCCGAUGGUGAAGGAGGCAGCAGCCUAUUACUUAGAAGCUGAGGAGCUCCAUGUAGCCCAGCCAUUCACCCUCUGUCCAACUUUGGACAAAUCAUCUGCCCUCUGGAAACUUUUUAUCCUGAAUUAUAAGAUGGAAACUGUACCAUUUAAUCCAACCAGCUCACAGAAUUAAAUGUAAGUAUGCUUUAUUGACUGUCACACACUUUAUACAUAUGGAGUAUCAUUAUGAAUCACUGGAGCAGAAAGAAACAUUGGGCAGGUUUUCCACUCUGUACAGAAAAAACUAAAUACCCCCUUAAAGUUUGAGAAAGAAAAGAGAACUGAAAUAUUGGAAACCAACCUAUUAUGGUUCAUGGUGGUUAAUAUGACUUGAAAAACCUACUAUUAAAGUAUGUUUUAUGUGUUAUAAAAGCUCUAAUACGUGCACGUACUUUUUCAGAGGAAGGUGAGCCUUCUAAAUUAUAAGAAAACAUGAAUAUUAUAUUUGAUGACUACAGAUAUUCUUUAGUUUCAGUCCUAUAAGAUCUCAGAUUUGUUUCAUAUGGCAUUCCCAAAUUAAAUAUGAUGCCUUAGGAAAAGAGCCCCUAAUAAUUUACUAAUUUACUAAACCCCUUAGUAAAGGACUUUACUAAGUGACACUUCUGGGAAAUAACUGGCCUGCCCUAUAACCUUAUCUUAGUAGGACCCCUACAAGGAAGAUUUAGAGAGCAGAUAAAGAGGAGAGGGAGCAGUGAUAAGUGAGAAAACACAGUUCAGGAUCAUGUUGCUCCAUAGGUGUCAUUAAAUAGUAUGUUUAAUGCAAAUUAAAUCAGCAUCCUCCUUCUGCACUUUCAACUCCACUUAUCCACAUGUAGCCUAAUGGAUAGUUUCGAACGUCUGUUUAGCAGGGUGGGGUCAUGGGCCUGUGACCAAUGCAGUAGCAAGGGGCCUGUGUUCAGAAGGGUCCAGCACAUGGGGUUUCAUGCUCUGUGGUUGCCAUGUUGAAAUUCUUCAUGCUUUUAUCUUGGAACUUGUAUUUAUAAGUUGAUAGGACAAUGGAGCAUGUGCUGGGGGCCUGGAGGCUACUUUCAGGUGCGAACCUGUCCCCCACCCCCCCUUCACUCACCCUCUUCUCCCAUCCCCAGCUCAUUCUCAAUUGCCUGCUCCCUCUGCCCCUGUGUCUGGGGCCCUGCCAGUUCUCUCUCCUCAUCCUCACACCUCCAUCUCUUACACAUCCUCACCAGGAAUGGCUGUGGGUUCCAUGGGCUGGGAGAAGGAUGGAGGAACCUGCAUUCUGCUUGACUCUGGGACAGAGGUCAGGCAAGUGGCCAACAGUAUUUUGGCUUUCUGGCUAUAAGUUUGUGGCAUCAUGGCCUGUUUGGCAGAAGGCCAAUGGCGGCCUCUUGCCUACCCCUGAUUUAAGCACCCACCACCUUCCAGCAUAGAGAUUGCAACUCCUUGGAGGUCUCCCUUCUACUGUGGGUAGAGGCAGAAGUUAGUGGGAGGAGGAAGUUGACUUCCCAGGUGUCUGGGCUGAGUAUUCCUCUUGCACAGGGUCCUGGCAAAUUAGGUAGCUGGACCUGGUAUUUAGACGAUUCUGAAACAAGACCUAAACUCCUCAGAAACAGUUCUAAUGAUAUGGUCAUCUUGUAAAUGAGUUUCCAGCUAAGUGUAUAAUAAUCCCAAGUGUAUAAUGGCGCUUACACAUUUGAGAGACCCUGUGAUCAUAAAGGUCACACAGGGUGAUAAUAAGAGCUUUAGGGGGUUGUGAGGAUACAGUAAGAAAGUGCAUAAGGCACUUAACACAUGCUCAGUAGAUGGCAAAUUCCUAUAUGGACACAAAGGAAUCAUUGCUGAAAUACUACCACCAUCCUCAUCACCCAUGUCCAUUUACUUGAGAAAAUAUGUAGGAAGAAAAGGAGCAUCAACUGCUUUGGCUCCUGUGUAAGUGAUCUGGAUUACGCAUGUCUCUUCUAUGUGCUAAGAAAAUGAACACAAUUAUUAGAUAUUAAAUUGUAAAUUGACAAUUUACAAUUUAUGUGUAUGUGCACAACCAUGUGUGUAUGGUUAUACACACAUGCAUACACACACAUAUUCUUGUGGAUUUGAAAUGCAUGGGAACUGUCAAAAACCUCGGAUCUAUGUAGUUCAGUGUGUUUAGUUUACAGAGAAGGAGAGAGAUUGCACAAACUCUUUUUUUUUUUUUUUUUAAGGCCACACCUGGGACAUAUGGAAGUUCCUAGGCUAGGGGUCAAUUCGGAGCUACAGCUGCUGGCCUACACCACAGCCACAGCAAUGUCAGAUGCAAGCUCUGUAUGCAAGCUCUACAUCACAACUUGAAGCAAGGCCAGAUCCUUAACCCACUGAACUCAGCUAGGGAUCAAACUUGUGUGUUCUCAGGGAUACUAGACAGGUCCAUUACCACUGAGCCACAAUGGGAACUCCCAUACAGCCUCUAAAUGGCAGAGGAGGGCUAAAAACCUUGAGAUCCCUCAUCUGUCUAAUUGGUGUGCAAUGUGCUUUGAGGACCUGAAAGAUAUGUAAACUGUUUUACAUUUUUAUAGUUACUUAUGGCUGUUACAUUUGUCACAGCUAUCAUUUAUGUGAUGUGACCCUUGGUUAAGGAAUGCAAAACUCCAAUCAUCCCACCUUUUCUCUGCAAAGCAUGAUCUACUUUAAGACACCCUGUUUCAUGGCAGUUUCCAGAAAUCCCUGAAAAGCAAAAGGGAUGGCUGGGUAACCCAUGUCUCUGAUAAAAUAGUUUCCAUUUUUACAAUGGAGAGUCAAACAUGCCUUCCUUAGGUCUGGUGCUGUGUGUUAGGGUGGCCCAUAUAUGAUCACGUGUGGUUAAGGCAACACGACUGGAAUCAUUUUAGCUUUCAUUUGGCCAGUCUGUACAUCAAGAAUCCGAAAUCAGGAGGUUGAUUUUCAUUUUGCCUCUUCCCCUGGCAGAUCUCCUUUAGGUCCAGGGUUGCCAUUUACUUCAAAGGGAACGCUCUUUGUAAAGGAGGUAUCCGGGAAAGGAAGAAAAAUGAGAAUCCAACUCAUUAUUUUAAAGAUGGUUAAAAUAAACAAGUCGGCAAAUGCAUGUUUUCUCUUAGACUACUCAGUUGGGAUCUUUCUGUCAAAGGAGGGUAGUUUGUAAGGCUUCUAUUAUCUGAUCCCCAUGCAAAGGGGAUCAAAUAUAUUUUUCAUUUGAUGAAGUUGGGUAGAAGUUGGACUGAACUGAAUUACACUGAUUGCUAUUCCCUGUAAUUCCCAACAAACUUUUAAAAUACAUUUACCUAUUAUACCCCUUCAUUUUCUAUAGCUGCAGAAGGAAAAAAAUAAAAGACUUGUACAGAUACAGAAACUCAAAAAAGAAAGCCAGUCACUUGUUUUUAUACAGAAACCAGCAUACUGACAUUUUAAUGAUGCUGGGAUACUGCCAUAGUGUGAAAUUUUGUAUUCAGAGCAUUUAAAAAGGGAGUGGAGAAAAGACAAGUAAGUCCCCAAACAGAAUGGAUUCGAUGAGCUUGUGUACAUGGCAGGUACCAGGUAGUGAUCAGCCUCCUUGGGUCACCUUUCCUCCUUAAAAGAUACAGGAGCCCUUUAAAUGUAUGGGAUGCACAGCUGAAUGUAGUGCCUUUUAUGGAGACCUCUUUGGGUCUGAUUAAUUAGUAAUUGGGGUGAGAGCUGUGCACUUCACUGACUCUUGCUGCCUUGAUUGUAAAUCGCAAUCUGGUGCUAAGUCUCAGCAGGUCACAUUGCUGUUUUUGCUGUACCCCAGUGACACAACUGAUUAAAUCUGUGUAAACAGUAUCAUUAUGAAAAUAUUUUUGUUAUAGGCAUGAGGAGUUAACACAUUUUUAUUUUGGAUGGAAAUUAAAAUUAUUUGUGGGAGCUUUGUAUGUUUUCAUCAAUUGUCAGUCAUCCCAAUAGAGCAUGUAGCAAAGUAACUGUUUUAAUUUUCACAAAGGGAAAAAAAAAAGCUCUCAGACAGAGGGCUUUUAAAACUGAGAAUUAUGAUAAUUAUGUCAUUCAUAAUACACAUAGCUACAUUACAGGCAAGUAUUAUGUCACUUAAUAGUUAGUUAAACAAGUAAACAGAAAUAUGGGAAUUUGCUUGCAUAUUCCCCUUACAAUGGGGGCACUUUUGAAAGAGUAGAUAUGCUUUAAUGGAACACACAUACACUCCCCCAGAUGCUUCACUUAUAUUCUACAUGUUUCCUAAGUUAGCUGUAACAGAACUCUGAGUUGCCUCUGGAAAGGAGCUCGGGGUGCUGAUGUGUUACUAGGCAACACACAGACUCAGGGUGAUGACUCAAGGAUCCCAGAGGUCCACAGGGGUUUCAGGGGAAGGAUAAAGGUGGACCAUUAGAUCAUCUUGAACAGUUUGUGUACCAUUGUUUACAUUUGGUUCUGAAGCAAGCAAGUUUGAUUUUUGCAGUAUACCCACUUUACAGUCAUUGGCACCUCCAAAAAUAAUUCUUCUGGAGGUGUGGUAAGGUUGAGCAAAUGUGCAAUUGGUCAGGAUUGGCAGUUUUAUUCUAAGUGAGCAUUAAAAUUGUAGUUGCUCUUCCUAAUGAGGCCUGAUUUCACCUCUGUUUGCUGAGGCUGGUGCUAAGUCAACUCAAGCCAAUGGAUACUCUCCUAUUUGCUUCAUUUCACAGACUUCUUAUUAGAAAGGCUUAAAUGAACUUUAAUCAAACGUGCCUAUUAAGUUUCUGAGACUUGGGUUGCUAAUCAUCUACUUGCUAGCAACUAAAGUUUAGAUAAAAGAAAAAUGACUUUUCUUUCUGUGAACCUAUAAAUAUCAUGGUCAGAAUAUCCAGGCGAAAAAGGAGCUAACAAAUGAGCAAAUUUGCCAUGUGCCAGCUCCCAGAUUUAAACAAAGAACUGGCUGUAUACAUUUCAAAUGAUGGCCUUCAUAUUAUCUAGGCCUAAAUAACAAGACAAAAAAAAACCCUGCCUUUGAAGAGAAGAGGAAGCAUUUACCCUACCCUUUAAUGCUGUACAGAUGUUGCAAAUGCUUUUGCCAAAGGUGGGAGGAACUGUAUAUGAAAGAACUGGCUGUGGGAUAUUGGUUAUCAGUAGACUAUUCAGAAUAAUGAAAUUUUGUGUUAUUACCUGGGGUGUUUGUGUUUUCCUGAUAAGCAGUUUGUUUGGGUUUUAUAAAGAUCUUGGGGCAUGGGUCAGUCUAGAGAAGUCUAAUAUUUGUUUAUGACUCUCAAUUCUUUUUUAUUAUAUCCCAUUAGUCAUUGCAAUAUUUACCCCAAACUGGGAACUCUGAGGAUCAGAUGAUUAGAUCAUAUUAGGAAUGCUUUUUGGACAUGAGCUAUUACAGCUAUCUUGCCAAACACCAAUGGGCAAAGACAGUAAAAAGGAUUAAUACAGAGGUGGGAAAUAGAAAAGGAAAAAAUACUAUUAUUUACUUUUUAAAAAAAACUACUCAUCAACCUAAUUCAAAGCAUAAAUCUAAAUCUAGAAAAAGAGAUUAAGGAAAAACAAAGAACAAUUUUCUCAAACAGAAAUGAAGACUAGGAAAAUGUGAGGAUAGUUUAUUAUUAAAUGUAAGCAAAUCCAGAGUGAUUUCAUUUUCUUGUUAAGUAUUUUUUUUUUGCUAAUUCCAAAACUCUACCUUGUAUAUAAUAUGACUCAUGCAAUGCUAAUAAAAUUUUAACCCCUUGAAGUCUUUAAGUAACAUUUACAAAGUGUAAAAGGCAACUUUCAAUCAGCACUUUAUGUAAGAUAGUUAAUUGUAAUGACCUAGUCAUAAAAAUAGGAGUAAUUCUGACUUUGGCAAUAAUAAAUAAAAUAAUCACCCUUUCCUAGUAAAUAUUUGCACAGCAGUAUUUCAGAAUAUAUAACACACAGGGAGGUCAAGAAAUAGACACCCAUACACUCUGUGUAAGACACUAUACACUUGGAUAUUUCCUUCUCCAGAAGAACAGCCCCUUGGGCAUAGAUUAAGGAACAGAAGUUCACCAUAGUUCUGUUUUAAGGUAUUAUUUACUAUUGUAAGGGUAAUGCAAGCUUAUUACACAAGAAUCAGAAAUGAUAGUAAAAUACCCCUGCAAGUAUCAGUAGUGGUAUUUGUUAUAAACCAAUAAAUCACUCAUGGCUCUAGCUCCAACAAACUGUUAACUAAGCUGUAUGCAGAUCUCUUGGUCACACUCUGCAUGAAAUCUUGAUCCUUUAGUAAUCUAGGUUCUUUCAUUAUGGAUAGAUGGAGAUCUUUUUGACAUUUUCUUUGUUCAAAAAGGCAAUGUAAACUGGCAGAUAUAUGGUAUUAUUAUAAUGAACGUUUAUUAAUACAAGAUCUUAGAAAAUGAAAUCUUUUUAAAAAGUGCUUCACACUUAUGAAUCACAAAGUGGUUGUUGACACCAGGAGUUAAAUGUAGGAAGACGAUGGGUGUCAGAAACAAGAAAGAGCCCUUCUUGUUUAUGUUUUUCUUAUGCCGCUACUUCUCUUAUUGUUCACACUUGUGUCCACUUUAAUCCCCAGGCUCAAGGAAAUUCAGUAGGCAACUCUAAGGAUGUAACAAACACAAAGAAAAUAUAGAAUCCCAUAAAAUCAAUGAGCUGUUUUGUAUUUGUGGAAAUUUUAGGAAAUGUGGAUAUUUGCAUGUGACAAGUUUAGAGGAAAAAACCCAUUUGUGGUUUGAAAUUAAGAAGGGAGGAAGGGAAAAGGGCAACAUGAAGGAUCUUUGCAGUGAUGGAAGUGUUUUGUAUCUUAAAUAUAUACAAUAUGUGUUACAUAAUAUAUGUCUAUAUCAAUCUUCUGGGUGUGGACAGCACUAGUUUUACAAAAUGGUAACUUUGGGUGAAACUGAGUAAAGGGUACAUGGGAUCUCAGCGUUAUUUCUUACAACUAUAGGUGAAUCUACAGUUAGCUCAGAAAGUUUGCGUAAAGAACAUAAAAUUGAGUUUUGUUUUUGUAGAAACCUCUGGAAAGACAGAUAUAUGCAUAUUUACAUGCACUUGUACAGAUAACUUGCCUAAAUUCUUUUAGAACUAUAUGUUUUUAUUCAGGUGAAUAAAAUAUGUAAACACUUGUCUAUGUAUUGUUUAUAUUGAAUAUAUUUAACAUGAUUUGAUAUUUAAUUUGAACAGUUACUAAUGUAUUAGUUUAGAAAACCUAAGAAUGGCUGUUUCUGAAAGCAUGGUACAGUGCGAUGGUUAAAAGUGUGAACCUGGGCGUCAGGUUGCGUGUUUUGAAUCCUCUCUGUUAUUUAUAAACAAUGAAUUUAAGCGGGUUUUAAUCAGUCUGCCUCAAAAUUUGCUCCUCCUAAAAUGGUGAGAACAAUAGCUAUCAUAUUGCCUUGUUAUAAGGAUUAGGCAAAUAAAUACACACAAAACACAUAGAAUACAGCCUGACACAGUAAAAACUAUGUAAGUGUUAGCUGCUGCUAUGAUGAUAAUGAUGAUGAUGUUUUAUAUACAUCAGCUUAUAGAAAACUCAUGUCAACCCUAGUUGUAGGUACCAUUAUUGACCUCAGGAUAGAUGGCCAGAAGGAACAAGUGUCUUGCCAAGGUCAAAAAAUUUGCAUUUGGAAGGACUCUGCUUUAACCACUUCAAGUUUGUAAGAUAGACCUGAAUUUUAUUUUGUUGUAAUAAGAUAACAAUAUAUUUCAUUAGGCAAAUAAACAUCUGAUUUUCUAUUUAAACAACAGUGAUUUAGAAACAAGACUAGAAAACAUAAAACAAAGACACAUAUUUGUUUCUUAGAUUUCCACCAUUCUUGAUUCUACUGGGUCUGGAAGGCAUCUUCCCUCUGGUAUUUUUGUCUUUUAGUUUUUCAGCCUGGAUAAACCCAGAGUGAAGAGGUGUAUAAAAACAAAAGAGAGGAAGCCAACCCAAUGUCCAUUCUCAAAACUUUCAAAAAGCUGAGGUUUUGGGUUCAGUUCAAUAAAGGGUCAAGAUUCAGGUCAAGUCUUAUUUUGUAUAAAAUGACUGCCUUCAUUUUGAAACAAUCUAGUAGUUAGAAUUGUGGUAGUUUCUGGUUUUAGCUAGUCUUUGAGGGGAAAUGCUGAAAUUAAUCUUUUCAAUGGAAAGGGAAUGCAACGAUUUACCACAGCUACCAAAACAGGGACUUCCUGGGAAAAGAAUGACCAUUUGUUGAACUGAUUGUCAUGUGUAGAAAGGAGAGUUUUUUUCUGUUCUAUUGAAUAUACAAAAGUGGGUAUAUAUUAUAUGUUUGCAAGGUAUAUGUGUGUGUAAAAAAAUCAUUGUCAAAUUGGAAAAUUGAAAUUCUCAUACAAUGAGAGAUAGUGUUGCAUAUUAUUAAGAGUACAGGCUUCGUUAGUUCAAAUCUUGGUUUUGUCACUUAAACAUUUGUGACCUUAGGAGAAUGGGAAUAUCAUAACGGUAGCUGCCUUAUCAAGUGGUUUUGGAGAGUAAAUAGUGAAUAUAUAUGUAAAGCAGCUAAAGAUUUUAUGGUACAUAGAAAGUUCUAGGUAAAAUUUAGCUGUGCCAUAAACUGCAUAAUUAAAUGUUGACCAUGUGCUGAAUUUUGACCUUAACUUAUUUAUAUAAAAAUUUUCCUUAAUAUCAGUAAUUUCAAGCUAGUUAAGGCAAUUACAUAUAUGCAAAGCAAUGUAUUUAAAGGGUAAAUAAGAAACAACACAGAAGGGAGUAUAUAUAGUGAAUCAGAAAUACAUUUGGCUGCAAAUAAUAAAACACCAAACUACAGUUUUUCUUUUCCCAGAUUAAGGAUUAUAUUUCUCAUAUAGGGAGUUUGGGGCUAGGUUAUUGUUAGUGUUGGAAUAUUGACUAGUGCCAAUGUUUGUUCAGCUUUCUUAAUAUUUUCCUAAUAGUUGCAGUCAAUCACAUCUUCCUUCAAGUCAGGAAGAUACUGGGAAGGGCAAUGCAUGCUUUAGCCAAGCUAAAGCUUUCCUGGAAGCCACACUCUCUAGCACACUUUCCAAAUGUUUUCCAACAUUCCAUAACAAUCCUAAUAAUUUUUUUUCUGAUUGACAUGGUACCCUUAGCUGCAAGGUAAUCUGGAAUAGGUAGUCCUAGGACAGCUCUGAUUGGCCUAGCCCAUUUAUGAUCCAUUGCUUUGGGGGAUGGACAUAUUUUCAUCAUAGAGAAAAGUAGAGUUCUGUUAGCAGUUAGGAGGAAAUAACUGUUGAGGAGGUAGCCAAUGGUGUUUGUCAUCUAUAGCCUCAGGCAGCACAACGGAAGAGAGUAUGGAUUAGUUAGUUAAGGCUUCCAGGAGGCAAAAGGUAAAAGAAAGAAUGCUUUAAAUGAAAUGUUGACUGUGAAUCAGCUGAAAUACUUCCUGGACAAAACAGGGUCUAGCAAUUACAUAAACAAAACUAGACAAGAAAAAAUAAGUAAGAAGCGUAGGAAAAAGGAAACUGGGGUAGAAUAGAUCUGUCUAGGGAGAAGAAGCCUUAAAGAGAAUUGAAAUGAAUACAUUUGGAGCCAUAUGGAAGAGUUAGUUUUGAAGGAAACAAUUUACUCAUUUCCUUGCUUCACUCUACCAAACUGGUCUACUCUUCUUGACCAGUAAUGGUCAAGAAUUUGGGAUUUCCAUAUAAAUAGAUAUUUCUCCAAAAAAAAAAAAAAAAAAAA